GGGGAUGUCUGGUUUUGACAGCGGUCAGGACAGGUAUGUAAGCAUGCAGUGCCUCGAUUCUACGCACUCUAAUCUCAGAAUUAAAAACAAUAACUGGCGAAAACAACUACGCUCUCGCUGCUUAAUCGAAGUACAGUAGAUUAUAGCUUAAUCCUUGCCAUAGUGGCAGGGACGUGACAUCACCCCCAGCUCCCGUCCUGAAGCUUAAGGGAAUCGGUGGUGCAGCAAUAUCGGGAAUAGGUAUUCAUCUGUCCGGAAUGAACGCCGAAACUUAACGGAAUAAGGCUUGAAUAGGUGGCUUCGGUCCAGUUCAGGCACGAAAACUUAGGCGAAGAUAAGCAUGUAGAAAGCGUAUUGGUUCACCGUUUGGACGAGGGUUCGACUCCCUCCAUCUCCACAA
rnacentral:tmRNA from 1 species